rnacentral:rRNA from 1 species
AGUAGGGAAUUUUCCACAAUGGACGAAAGUCUGAUGGAGCGACACAGCGUGCAGGAUGAAGGCCUUCGGGUUGUAAACUGCUGUUAUAAGGGAAGAAAAAGCAGAAGAGGAAAUGCUUUUGCCUUGACGGUACCUUGUCAGAAAGCAACGGCUAACUAUGUGCCAGCAGCCGCGGUAAUACAUAGGUUGCAAGCGUUAUCCGGAAUUAUUGGGCGUAAAGCGUCUGUAGGUUGUGUGUUAAGUCUGACGUAAAAACUUGGAGCUCAACUCCAAAUAGCGUUGGAUACUGGCACGCUAGAAUUGUGUAGAGGUUAGCGGAAUUCCUAGUGAAGCGGUGAAAUGCGUAGAUAUUAGGAAGAACAUCAACAUGGCGAAGGCAGCUAACUGGGCACAUAUUGACACUGAGAGACGAAAGCGUGGGGAGCAAACAGGAUUAGAUACCCUGGUAGUCCACGCCGUAAACGAUGAUGAUUAGCUGAUGGGAACCAUCGGCGCAGCUAACGCAUUAAAUCAUCCGCCUGAGUAGUAUGCACGCAAGUGUGAAA